CCUACGGGUGGCUGCAGUGAGGAAUAUUGGUCAAUGGCCGAGAGGCUGAACCAGCCAAGUCGCGUGAGGGAAUAAGGCCCUACGGGUCGUAAACCUCUUUUGCCGGGGAGCAAGGGCGGGGACGUGUCCCGGCCCGGAGAGUACCCGGAGAAAAAGCAUCGGCUAACUCCGUACCAGCAGCCGCGGUAAGACGGGGGAUGCAAGCGUUAUCCGGAUUUAUUGGGUUUAAGGGGUGCGUAGGCGGGCUUUUAAGUCAGUGGUCAAAUUGAGGGGCUCAACCCCUUCCCGCCAUUGAAACUGGCGCUCUUGAGUGGAAGAGAAGUAUGCGGAAUGCGUGGUGUAGCGGUGAAAUGCAUAGAUAUCACGCAGAACCCCGAUUGCGAAGGCAGCAUGCCGGCUUCCGACUGACGCUGAAGCACGAAAGCGUGGGGAUCGAACAGGAUUAGAUACCCGGGUAGUC
rnacentral:rRNA from 1 species